rnacentral:rRNA from 1 species
AUUGAACGCUGGCGGCAGGCCUAACACAUGCAAGUCGAGCGGAUGAAGCGAGCUUGCCCCUGGAUUCAGCGGCGGACGGGUGAGACAUGCCUAGGAAUCUGCCUGGUAGCGGGGGAUAACGUCCGGAAACGGGAGCUAAUCCCGCAUACGUCCUGAGGGAGAAAGUGGGGGAUCUUCGGACCUCACGCUAUCAGAUGAGCCUAGGUCGGAUUAGCUAGUUGGUGGGGUAAAGGCCUUCCAAGGCGACGAUCCGUAACUGGUCUGAGAGGAUGAUCAGUCACACUGGAACUGAGACACGGUCCAGACUCCGACGGGAGGCAGCAGUGGGGAAUAUUGGAGAAUGGGCGAAAGCCUGAUCCAGCCAUGCCGCGGGUGUGAAGAAGGUCUUCGGAUUGUAAAGCGCUUUAAGUUGGGAGGAAGGGCAGUAAGUUAAUACCUUACUGUUUUGACGUUACCGACAGAAUAAGCACCGGCUAACUUCGUG